UACAGAGGGUGCGAGCGUUGUCCGGAAUCACUGGGCGUAAAGGGCGCGUAGGCGGUCUGGUAAGCGUGCGGUGAAAGCCCGGGGCUCAACCCCGGGUCGGCCGUGCGAACUGCUGGACUGGAGCUUGUCAGAGGCAGGCGGAAUUCCGGGUGUAGCGGUGGAAUGCGUAGAGAUCCGGAGGAACACCAGUGGCGAAGGCGACACGCUGGGCCGUACCUGACACUGAUGCGCGACAGCAUGGGGAGCAAACAGG
rnacentral:rRNA from 1 species